rnacentral:rRNA from 1 species
CCUACGGGUGGCAGCAGUGAGGAAUAUUGGUCAAUGGGCGGGAGCCUGAACCAGCCAAGCCGCGUGAAGGAAGAAGGCGCCAAGCGUCGUAAACUUCUUUUGUCGGGGAACAAAGGGCGCCACGUGUGGCGUUGUGAGUGUACCCGAAGAAAAAGCAUCGGCUAACUCCGUGCCAGCAGCCGCGGUAAUACGGAGUAGGCGAGCGUUAUCCGGAUUUAUUGGGUUUAAAUGGUGCGUAGGCGGUCCGGAAAGUCAGCGGUAAAAGCCCGGGGCUCAACCCCGGGACUGCUCUUGGAACUGCGUGGCUAGAGUGCAGGAGGGGCAGGCGGAAUUCCUGGUGUAGCGGUGAAAUGCGUAGAUAUCAGGAGGAACACCGGUGGCGAAGGCGGCCUGCUGGACUGCAACUGACGUUGAGGCCCGAAAGCGUGGGGAGCAAACAGGAUUAGAUACCCUUGUAGUC